rnacentral:rRNA from 1 species
AUUGAACGCUGGCGGCAUGCCUUACACAUGCAAGUCGAACGGUAACGCGGGGCAACCUGGCGACGAGUGGCGAACGGGUGAGUAAUGCAUCGGAACGUGCCUGGUAGUGGGGGAUAACUGCUCGAAAGAGCAGCUAAUACCGCAUACGACCUGAGGGGGAAAGGGGGGGAUCGCAAGACCUCUCGCUAUCAGACCGGCCGAUGUCGGAUUAGCUAGUUGGUGGGGUAAAGGCCCACCAAGGCGACGAUCCGUAGCUGGUCUGAGAGGACGACCAGCCACACUGGGACUGAGACACGGCCCAGACUCCUACGGGAGGCAGCAGUGGGGAAUUUUGGACAAUGGACGCAAGUCUGAUCCAGCCAUGCCGCGUGCGGGAAGAAGGCCUUCGGGUUGUAAACCGCUUUUGUCAGGGAAGAAAUCUUCUGGGUUAAUACCUCGGGAGGAUGACGGUACCUGAAGAAUAAGCACCGGCUAACUACGUGCCAGCAGCCGCAGUAA